CAGUAAGGAAUAUUGGUCAAUGGACGCAAGUCUGAACCAGCCAUGCCGCGUGAAGGAUGAAGGUCCUCUGGAUUGUAAACUUCUUUUAUAUGGGAAGAAAUCCUCGAAAUCUUUCGGGGUUGACGGUACCAUAGGAAUAAGCACCGGCUAACUCCGUGCCAGCAGCCGCGGUAAUACGGAGGGUGCAAGCGUUAUCCGGAUUCACUGGGUUUAAAGGGUGCGUAGGAGGGCAGGUAAGUCAGUGGUGAAAUCUCCAAGCUUAACUUGGAAACUGCCGUUGAUACUAUCUGUCUUGAAUACCGUGGAGAUGAGCGGAAUAUGUCAUGUAGCGGUGAAAUGCUUAGAUAUGACAUAGAACACCAAUUGSGAAGGCAGCUCGUUACASGAAUAUUGACUCUGAGGCASGAAAGCGUGGGGAUCAAACAGGAUUAGAUACCCUGGUAGUCCACGCCCUAAACGAUGGAUACUCGACAUACGCGAUACACAGUGUGUGUCUGAGSGAAAGCAUUAAGUAUCCCACCUGGGAAGUACGACCGCAAGGUUG
rnacentral:rRNA from 1 species